rnacentral:rRNA from 1 species
UACGGAGGAUGCGAGCGUUAUCCGGAUUUAUUGGGUUUAAAGGGUGCGUAGGCGGACGCUUAAGUCAGCGGUAAAAUUGCGGGGCCCAACCUCGUCGAGCCGUUGAAACUGGGUGCCUUGAGUGGGCGAGAAGUACGCGGAAUGCGUGGUGUAGCGGUGAAAUGCAUAGAUAUCACGCAGAACUCCGAUUGCGAAGGCAGCGUACCGGCGCCCUACUGACGCUGAAGCACGAAGGCGUGGGUAUCGAACAGG